CACGUAGGGCGCAAGCGUUGUCCGGAAUUAUUGGGCGUAAAGAGCUCGUAGGUGGUUUGUUACGUCUGCUGUGAAAACCUAGGGCUUAACCCUGGGCUUGCAGUGGAUACGGGCAGACUAGAGGUAGGUAGGGGAGAAUGGAAUUCCUGGUGUAGCGGUGAAAUGCGCAGAUAUCAGGAGGAACACCGGUGGCGAAGGCGGUUCUCUGGACAGUUCCUGACGCUGAGGCACGAAGGCCAGGGGAGCAAACGGG
rnacentral:rRNA from 1 species